rnacentral:tRNA from 1 species
GGAGGAUUAGUCUAAUGGUAAGGCACUGCUUUCGAAAAGCAGCGGGCGCAAGCCCUUGCAGGUUCGAGUCCUGCAUCCUCCG